ensembl:lncRNA
AAGAGGUCAUUGUUCUCCCUGUCGGAGUGAAUGGCCGCCUCUUGGGGAACCCAGGACCCGGAUGGCGUCUCCCCAGGGCACAGGAAACCGCCUCAGACUGAGCUGUAUUCAGGGGUCGAAGCCUCUUCCCCAUCCUCCCCCUACAGUGGACAGACACCCCCUUCAAAUCCAACCUCACUGCUCAACUCCAGCCCUAUGGUUUUUAAGAGAAGCUAGUGGGGGAAAGGCUUAUUUUUCCAAUGUGCAUUUUUCCAAUAUGUAAGACACUGUGUGGACCGAAUAAAAUAUGUCCAGGCCUGGAAGCAGCCCAAGCAUAGCUAGUUUAUAAGCCCUGGAAUGCUCCUUCCUGCACACAAAAAUUAAGGGUCUGUUUACGUAGAUAUGCUGGUGUGUUGGAGUUGAACUUUUCCUUACUCUGAACUCAGAUAUGCAAAGAAAAAUGAGCCUUUUACAUUUUUCAUGGAUGUCAUCUAGUUCAGUGAUUAGGAGCAAGAGACAUGCUGGAGCCAGAGGACCUGGGUUUACAUCUUGGCUUUGCCACUAUGUGACCUCAGGCAGGUCACUUAACCUCUCCGAAUCUCAGUUUCCUCUGAGGGAGAUAGGUACACAUGUGUGUGGCAUUUAAUAAAAACAACAAAAGUCCCUGCUACUGUUCUGUGUCGCUGGUUUGAUGUCGGUCAUGAGCCCUCACAUUGGAAGAAAUACAAGAUCUUAAGCCAGGCUAAUCAUUGAAACUGUUUAUUUAGGCAAGACAGGCUUCCCCUGGGGUGUUUCAGGGACAAACUCCAUUGAUCAGUUUCCCACCUUCCUCUGCUCCUCUUCAAGAAGCUUCUGCCUGAACACCACUUUGGUAACAGGGAAACAGCUCCGAGGAGAGAGAUCAAGGUUAGGAAAUGCCAUUUAGCGAGUAUCCCUUCUGCACUGAGCCGUGUAGGUACACAAGCUCCUUGAAUCCUCAUAACCAUUCUGGAUGAAAAGAAUCAUGACUCCCUUAACCAACAUCAUGGAGCUUGCAAGUAAUGGAGGCAUCAUUAGAUUCCAGGAUGUUCAACUUCGAAGCCUGCCUUUUCUCUGCUCCUAUUAACUGUGUAUUCCCAUUCCUGGUUGUAAGGCAAGAAUUCAGAGGCAUUUGUGCUUCAAUUGACCAUGGCGCUUGAUCCCGAAAGGAAAAACUCUUUCUCUCUCUCUCUCUACCUGAUUGACAAUAAUAAUAACAAUAAUUUAAUGGCUCAAGCAGGGAAAGUCCAAUGGUGGGAAAUCCUGGCUUCAGGGAACUGGGAAGAAAAACAGCUUCAGGUAUGGAAGGAUCCAGGGGCUCCAUGGAUGUUACCAGGACUCACUUCUCUCUCUUAGCAAUGCUUUCCUUUGUAUUGGCUUCUCCCUCAGUCAGCCUCUCCCUGUUUCGUGUCAAGAUAGCCUUAGCAGCCCUUAUUCCCUGGCAGCUUGGCAAUGCCAGUGGAAGGAGAUUCUGGGACUAACUCUGGUUGGCCUUAUUAAAGUCAGGUGCAAAUUCCUUUGCUUCUUUCUCUAGCUCAUAUUGGUCAGGCCUGCGUCGCCUUCCUACUUCUAGAGCUGGAGGUAGAGACUAGGGUAGUUUUUUCACAUUGAUGCUCUAAUUAAUGACCUUCCUGCACUCAAGCCGUUUGCAAUGUGAGUUUAUUUCCACAUGAUCUGAAUCUGGGCUUGGCCUUGAGACUUGCUCUGACCACUGGAAUCCAAGGGAAGUGAUGCUGUGCCCGCUUCCAACCUAGGCCUCAAGAGUCUUCUUCAUUUCUCCCCUCUCUGUUGGAACUCUGGAUAGCCACCAUGAGAACAAACCUGGGCUAGCCAGCUGCAGGAGAAGAAACCAUCUCAAGGAGAGCCUGGUCCCCCAGCAAAGACUAACCUCAGUGCAACAGUCAGCUGACCUACCAGAGUUUGUUUUUUGAGCAAUCUUACCUACCUUCUUGCAGGACUAGGAUUGACAGAUGACCAAAAAAAAAAAAAAAAA